rnacentral:rRNA from 1 species
CCUACGGGUGGCUGCAGUGGGGAAUAUUGGACAAUGGGGGCAACCCUGAUCCAGCCAUGCCGCGUGUGUGAAGAAGGCCCUCGGGUUGUAAAGCACUUUCAGUGAGGAAGAACGCCUGGUGGUUAAUACCCAUCAGGAAAGACAUCACUCACAGAAGAAGCACCGUCUAACUCCGUGCCAGCAGCCGCGGUAAUACGGAGGGUGCGAGCGUUACUCGGAAUUACUGGGCGUAAAGCGCGCGUAGGUGGCUUGAUAAGCCGGUUGUGAAAGCCCCGGGCUCAACCUGGGAACGGCAUCCGGAACUGUCAAGCUAGAGUGCAGGAGAGGAAGGUAGAAUUCCGGGUGUAGCGGUGAAAUGCGUAGAGAUCGGGAGGAAUACCAGUGGCGAAGGCGGCCUUCUGGACUGACACUGACGCUGAGGUGCGAAAGCGUGGGUAGCAAACAGGAUUAGAUACCCGGGUAGUC